rnacentral:lncRNA from 1 species
UUUGGAGCAAAACAUUUUGUUCAUUGCACAUGUCCAAAUCAAAAUGUACAUUGAACUAGAAUUUGCUCAGCUAGCAACAGCAUUCAGAUACACUGAACAUAGUUCAUCAGACCAUUUCCUGCUGCCUACAAGAUGUAGGACUCUCAGCUCCUUCACCAACACCACAUCUGCCUUCAUGCAGCCAUCCUCCAUAAUACUGAACUGAACCUCUGAACUAUUUGUAUGAAGCAGAGAACUCUAAACCCCACAGUUUCCUGGAGAAAGCAACACCUGGAAGACCGAAGGAAACCAAGCAAGAUUUCAAUUUUCCACUGUAAGUGUGCUUAGGAAGGACCCCAGACUUGAUGGACAAGACAGAAAGCCCAUAGCCAACGAGCCGAAGGAUCCCCCACUUUGUACCCACCUGAAGGAUCACCCCCUGCCUGCCUGUGAGCUAAGAACCAAAUUGAAAAAGACUUAGAAUCAUAGAAUUCAAUGUUGAGCCACCACAGGGGACCAACAUGACCUGCUAGGGUAUAAUAGCUGACGAGAACAGCACUCCUCAGAGGAAGGUAACAGAAUCCAGAGUCUCUGAAAUAAGUCCUCCAUAAUGUCCAAUCUAAAACCACCAGCAAUUCAAAGAAACAGGAAAACGGGACUAGGGAAAGUCUUCAAAAUAGCAGAAUUAGCAGACAAGAACAUUAAGACAAUUUUGAUCACUUGUUUGUUUAUUUUGUUUUGUUUUUUUAAACAGAGCCUCUCUACAUUGCCCUAGCUGUCCUGGAACUCACUGUGUAGACUAGACUAGCUUAAGACUCAUAGAGAUCUGCCUGCUUUUGUCUCCAUAGUUCUGGGCUUGACUGAUGUUUUGAGGAGCCAACAGGAAUAGCUGGUUAAUGAAGAUACAUGGAGAUUAUCUUUACCCCAGUCAAACCUUUAGAAUUGGAAGAUGUAAUGAAUCCAGUAAAGUGUCCACAGAUAAAUACUGGUUAAUUUUAUGCUAACUUGACACAAGCUAGAGUCAUCAGAGAGGAGGGAGCUUCAAUUGAGAAAAUGUCUGCAUACAAUGGGGCUAUGGGCAGGACAGUAAGGCAUUUUCUUAAUUAGUGAUUCAUGUGGGAGGGCCCAGCUCAUUGUGGGUGGGGACAUCCCUGGGCUGGUAGUCCGGGGUUC